rnacentral:rRNA from 1 species
CAGCCGCCGCGGUAAUACGUAGGUGGCAAGCGUUGUCCGGAAUUAUUGGGCGUAAAGGGCUCGCAGGCGGUUUCUUAAGUCUGAUGUGAAAGCCCCCGGCUCAACCGGGGAGGGUCAUUGGAAACUGGGAAACUUGAGUGCAGAAGAGGAGAGUGGAAUUCCACGUGUAGCGGUGAAAUGCGUAGAGAUGUGGAGGAACACCAGUGGCGAAGGCGACUCUCUGGUCUGUAACUGACGCUCAGGUUCGAAAGCCAAGGUAGCGAACAGGAUUAGAUACCCCCGUAGUCCCUGUCUCUUAUAC